UUUUAGAGUUUGAUCCAUGGCUCAGAACGAACGCUGGCGGCAGGCCUAACACAUGCAAGUCGAGCGAGACCUUCGGGUCUAGCGGCGGACGGGUGAGUAACGCGUGGGAACGUACCCUCUUCUGCGGAAUAGCCACUGGAAACGGUGAGUAAUACCGCAUACGCCCUUCGGGGGAAAGAUUUAUCGGAGGAGGAUCGGCCCGCGUUGGAUUAGGUAGUUGGUGGGGUAAUGGCCUACCGAGCCUACGAUCCAUAGCUGGUUUUAGAGGAUGAUCAGCCACACUGGGACUGAGACACGGCCCAGACUCCUACGGGAGGCAGCAGUGGGGAAUCUUAGACAAUGGGCGCAAGCCUGAUCUAGCCAUGCCGCGUGUGUGAUGAAGGCCUUAGGGUAAUAAAGCACUUUCGCCUGUGAUGAUAAAACAGAGCAGGAAAGAACCCCGCA
rnacentral:rRNA from 1 species